UGUUUGAGGUUCUAUCUCAACAUUCUCUAGAUUCAGAUGACAGCCAUAAACCGACUUCAUCCCUCCAACAGAUUGACAGCAGGACAAAUCGCUGGAAGUGGGUAUGUCUCAAGCUUCUUCCACUUGGUCCACUCCAAAGCGGGCUGCAAAGGGGAAGAAGUGGAAGGAGUUGAAUGACACAUGUUGCAUUUUGUAACUGGCAACAAAGUACCAGGUAAAAAAGAUUGUGAAGCCUGCCUCCAUAAAGAACUAGUAGCUCUACAGGACAGAGAUUGGCUUGCCAUCAAGUACUACAUCCAUAACAGAAUUAUAUUAAAAAAAGGGAAAAAAAAUGUUUUCCCACAUCUUCUGUGGUAGUUUGAGUAUGUUACCAGCAAUUAAAAAAGCAAAAUAAACA